rnacentral:rRNA from 1 species
AAAUUGAAGAGUUUGAUCAUGGCUCAGAUUGAACGCUGGCGGCAGGCCUAACACAUGCAAGUCGAACGGUAACAGGAAGCAGCUUGCUGCUUUGCUGACGAGUGGCGGACGGGUGAGUAAUGUCUGGGAAACUGCCUGAUGGAGGGGGAUAACUACUGGAAACGGUAGCUAAUACCGCAUAACGUCGCAAGACCAAAGAGGGGGACCUUAGGGCCUCUUGCCAUCGGAUGUGCCCAGAUGGGAUUAGCUAGUAGGUGGGGUAACGGCUCACCUAGGCGACGAUCCCUAGCUGGUCUGAGAGGAUGACCAGCCACACUGGAACUGAGACACGGUCCAGACUCCUACGGGAGGCAGCAGUGGGGAAUAUUGCACAAUGGGCGCAAGCCUGAUGCAGCCAUGC